AGCAUUGUGCCAGAGUUGUUAUGGGCUUUGUUGAUGUCAAAGAACACGGAGAGUAUUCUUCCAAUGCUU
rnacentral:tRNA from 1 species